rnacentral:rRNA from 1 species
CCCUUAGAUGUCCGGGGCCGCACGCGCGCUACAAUGGAUGAAUCAACGCGUCAUCCUGGCCCGAAAGGGUUGGGGAACCGCUGAACCUCAUCCGUGGUUGGGAUUGGGGUUUGUAAUUAUUCCCCAUGAACUAGGAAUUCCCAGUAAGCGCGAGUCAUAAGCUCGCGUUGAUUACGUCCCUGCCCUUUGUACACACCGCCCGUCGCUACUACCGAUUGGAUGGUUUAGUGAGAUCCUCGGAUUGGUCACGGCACGGUGGCAACACUGCGUCGGUAUGCCGAGAAGACGAUCAAACUUGAUCAUCUAGAGGAAGUAAAAGUCGUAACA